UGAGGAACAUGACUUUCGGCGGGGGAUAGCCGGCCCAGCGGCCGGGUAAUACCGCGUACGACCUUUUGGGGACAUCCCCGAUUGGUGAAAGCAGCAAUGCGCCGAAAGAGUGCCUCGCGGCCUAUCAGCUAGUUGGUGGGGUAAUGGCUCACCAAGGCGACGACGGGUAGCCGGCCUGAGAGGGUGACCGGCCACACUGGGACUGAGACACGGCCCAGACUCCUACGGGAGGCAG
rnacentral:rRNA from 1 species